GAAAUGCGAUAAGUAAUGUGAAUUGCAGAAUUCAGUGAAUCAUCGAAUCUUUGAACGCACCUUGCGCCCUUCGGAAUAUCCAAAGGGCAUGCCUGUUUGAGUAUCAUGAAUACCUCAACUCUCAUGGCUUGCCAUGAUGAGCUUGGACUUUGGGGGUUUUGUUGGCCUGUGAGCCAGCUCCUCUUAAAUGAAUUAGCUUGCCAGCGUUUGGUGGCGUCACAGGUGUGAUAACUAUCUACGCUUGUGGUUUCCCCACCGGGUAACCUUCAGCAAUGGAGGUUCGCUGGAGCUUACAAACGUCUCUCCUCUGUGAGGACAAAUUUGACCAUUUGAUCUCAAAUCAGGUAGGACUACCCGCUGAACUUAAGCAUAUCAAUAAGCGGAGGAAAAGAAACUAACAAGGAUUCCCCCUAGU
rnacentral:rRNA from 1 species